UUACCUUAAUCAAAACAUAAAGAUAAAAAGAAAGGGAGAAUUCUCCUUUAAGAAUGUAGUGAAUUUUCCUCAUGCGUCAGACUCUGGGCUAGAUUUUACUGUUCUCAGUAAUACUAAAAAUAAAGAUAAUCAAUCUUGGGUGAAUUUUAUUGAUGCUAUGCAAAAAAAAAAAGUAAAAAAAGAAAAAGGAUUGGCUAAGUCUAUCUCAUUCAAGGAAACUGCUGGGCUGCAGCAAGAACUCUCUUUAUUGCCUGUUCUUGUAUUAAUUGGUUCAAGGAUCUUAUAGUUCUUGUGAAGUAUAAGCUCUUUCACCUUUUGAUGUAGUCAAAGUUUUUUUUUUCAUACUUACAAAUGAGCUUGAUAAUGUGGCCAAUAAAGGCAAUGCCAACUCCAGAAUCAAAGGUGUAAUGAAAUAUUUGGUCUUCAGUAUAGCUCAGGAUGCCCUUUAGGGGCUUCUCCAAAGCUUGCUUCACCACUUUCUCAAUUCCAUAUUUGGCUGCUUUCUUUAGGUGUCUGGUCAGAUCCAUGGUGAACACAUUGGGUGUAGAAACUCAGAAGACCACUCCAGUAAGCUGACGAUUAAGUUCUGGAUGAUCGUUCUAACAACAUUGCCAAUGUCAGUGGAUAGAGAUAUGCUGCUCUGGGCAUCCCAGUGGUCAUCAUGCAGUUUCUCAGAGGUUUCCCCAUGAAACAACCCCAUCCAAGGAUGAAUUCCUGUAAUCCACUUGUGUUUUCCUUAUGCUCUUAUGGUCUGUGGCCGUUGCCAGGAAGAUGUGCUCAAAACACCUAGUGUGACUGAUAAUCUUGCAUCAUCCCCCAGAAGGAGAGUUUUCAAGCUGUGGAGAGAAGAGGUUCAAACUCCAAGAGGUCAUCAGAGCUUUUACACUGCCUUUGUGUUGUUUUCAUAUAAAUAUUUUUACUGGAACAAUUUUUGGCAGAUGAAGCCCACUCUCAGGACUGUGGAAAGAGGAGAAUUUUGUUCACCACAUGCCAAUGGUUCUGCUGAUAUUUGAUAGUUCCUGCUAGGUUGUGCCACUGCUGCUGUUAUCCUGAUACUCCCAAACUUGACUGCUGGAAUAUACACGAAGUGUUUGUGAGUUGAUCGAGCUACCGCUGCUGACCUGUGUACUGAACUGCUGCUUUCCUGACAACACUGAAGGGAGCUGCUCCAGAGAACCAUUUCUAAACACAUUCAUUUCCCCUGUAUCCUUGCUUUUCCACCACCUCUGGUGAGUGGUGGGCUAGAAGGGAAGUUAAAGCAUUUAAGAACUAUCACUAAAAGUUACAGGGUUUCUCUCUGUAACAAGCCCUGAUUGUCCUGUACUCACUUUGUAGAUCAGGCUGGCCUCAAUUUCUACACCUAGCAAAAUUUUGCAGUUAAAAAUAAAAUGAGAAAUAAGAAUAUAGAAAGACAAAUUCAAGUUAAGAUAAUUCACAACUUGGCCAACAAUAUACAGAAUUCUUAAAGCAAUAAUGUAUGUAGAGGAAGAAUUAUGUUUACACAAGAACACAGGGCAGAAUACAGUCCAUGAAAGCAACAGAAGAACAUAAUGGAACAGGAAACAUAUCAAUCAUCUUCAACAUAAACCUGCAGCAUCCAAGAAUACCAGGAAAAGGAGACAAUAAGUAAAUUACCAACUAACAAGGACAAUAAAUAGUGAAACUACAAACAAUUUACACAAACACUUCUCAAUUAUAACCUUAAAUGCAAAUUACCU
rnacentral:lncRNA from 1 species